CCGACCUUAGCUCAGUUGGUAGAGCGGAGGACUGUAGUUGUUUGUUCAGUAGAUUAAUCCUUAGGUCGCUGGUUCGAUUCUGGCAGGUCGGA
rfam:Spinacia oleracea cultivar SynViroflay scaffold2846.con0003.1, whole genome shotgun sequence.